rnacentral:rRNA from 1 species
CAGUAGCCGCGGUAAUACGUAGGGUGCAAGCGUUAAUCGGAAUUACUGGGCGUAAAGCGUGCGCAGGCGGUUAUAUAAGACAGAUGUGAAAUCCCCGGGCUCAACCUGGGAACUGCAUUUGUGACUGUAUAGCUAGAGUACGGCAGAGGGGGAUGGAAUUCCGCGUGUAGCAGUGAAAUGCGUAGAUAUGCGGAGGAACACCGAUGGCGAAGGCAAUCCCCUGGGCCUGUACUGACGCUCAUGCACAAAAGCGUGGGGAGCAAACAGGAUUAGAUACCCCCGUAGUCCCUGUCUCUUAUAC